GAUGAACGCUGGCGGCGUGCCUAAUGCAUGCAAGUCGAGCGAACAGACGAGGAGCUUGCUCCUCUGACGUUAGCGGCGGACGGGUGAGUAACACGUGGAUAACCUACCUAUAAGACUGGGAUAACUUCGGGAAACCGGAGCUAAUACCGGAUAAUAUAUUGAACCGCAUGGUUCAAUAGUGAAAGACGGUUUUGCUGUCACUUAUAGAUGGAUCCGCGCCGCAUUAGCUAGUUGGUAAGGUAACGGCUUACCAAGGCAACGAUGCGUAGCCGACCUGAGAGGGUGAUCGGCCACACUGGAACUGAGACACGGUCCAGACUCCUACGGGAGGCAGCAGUAGGGAAUCUUCCGCAAUGGGCGAAAGCCUGACGGAGCAACGCCGCGUGAGUGAUGAAGGUCUUCGGAUCGUAAAACUCUGUUAUUAGGGAAGAACAAAUGUGUAAGUAACUCUGCACGUCUUGACGGUACCUAAUCAGAAAGCCACGGCUAACUACGUG
rnacentral:rRNA from 1 species